GGCUUUGAUUUCUGUUUUUCCGAUUCCCGUUGGAAUACAAGUAAAUUGAGUAAAUGACGAAGGAAUUGCGUAAACACUACCCUGCACGAAAAUAUUACUGUAUUAAGAAUUCAUGCAAGAAUUUGAUUGGUAUGCAUGUCUGGUCGUGCACUGCAAGAGAUAAUUAACUCCUAUUCAUUUAACCUUCAGCCAUGCUCCACUGUAAUCUGUUUUACCACUUGCUAUUGAAGCGAUCCACACAUUUGCUGCUCUCCCUUUCAUAGUUUUAUCGGUGCUUCGCUUGCGCGGUUCUUAGCUUUGGUUUUUUAUUAAUUUCUUUAUUAUCGCAUUAAACUUAUCGCACUAGAGUAUCGGGUUCGGUCAGGGCCAAUAUCGGGGAAAUCGCCCAAACAAAUCAAAUCCAAACAAGCUAAAUCAAUUUGACAACAACUGCGGCCAAACGGUAAAUUAAAUACAGAUGGCAGUGAAUGCAUUUGAGGUCCUCGCUAGCGUCUCCGACGAUCCAGACACGGGAAGGUUUUUCGACCAAUUGAGGUAUCUGUAGCUGGAGAUACCACUCUUUGUGGAGGGCUGUCGCCGAUUCCUGCACGGCGUGGUCAUCAAGGAGACACUAACCGGCGAUGUGGUGAUGGAGGACUGUGUAGAGAUGACCACCAGCACUGUACUCCGCUACUGUGGCAUCGUUGAGGUGGCUCGGGCAUGCAUUCUCAAAUUUAUAUGCCCCAAAGAUUUCUUUGUAUAAAAUUACAACGCCACUGAACACGAGAAAUAAUUCCUCAUGCUUGGCUCCCCAAUGACCGUCGUGAAAUUCGAUUGAAAUAAACCAUUAAAAUAAACCCUCAAAAUAAAAAA